rnacentral:lncRNA from 1 species
CAUUAUAAUAAAUUUAAGAUAUAAUUUUAUAUUUAAUAUAUUGAUUUGAUUAAUAAAAAAAUAAAUUUAUUUUCAUUCAAAUGUGAUGUGUUCUUGAAUCAUCUAUAAAAUUAAUUUUUCGAUACAUAUUCUCAAAGUAUUAAAAAUUAGAGAUAUGUACUUAAUUCCUAAAUACUCCCGAUCAUAGUAUCAUCAUGAGGAUGGUGAUCGAUCCGGA